GAUGAACGCUAGCGGCAGGCUUAAUACAUGCAAGUCGAGGGACAGCACAGGUAGCAAUACUGGGUGGUAACCGGCAAACGGGUGCGGAACACGUACACAACCUUCCUUUAAGUGGGGGAUAGCCCAGAGAAAUUGGGAUUAAUACACCGUAAUAUAGUUGAAUGGCAUAAUUGGAUUAGUAAAGCUACGGCGUUUAAUGAUGGGUGUGCGGCUGAUUAGAUAGUUGGCGGGGUAACGGCCCACCAAGUCUACGAUCAGUAGCUGAUGUGAGAGCAUGAUCAGCCACACGGGCACUGAGACACGGGCCCGACUCCUACGGGAGGCAGCAGUAAGGAAUAUUGGUCAAUGGACGCAAGUCUGAACCAGCCAUGCCGCGUGAAGGAUUAAGGUCCUCUGGAUUGUAAACUUCUUUUAUUUGGGACGAAAAAGGGCCUUUCUAGGUCAACUGACGGUACCAGAUGAAUAAGCACCGGCUAACUCCGUGCCAGCAGCCGCCGUAA
rnacentral:rRNA from 1 species